CGGUGUUUAACUGGCGUGAUGUGGGACGUCCUACCGGUGGGCUUAGCCUCGCGAGGGGCGGCCCAACUAAUAUCCCGUCGCGGUGCUCUUUACAGAGUGGCGAGUCGGGCCGGUACGCUUACUUUGAACAAAUUAGAGUGCUUAAAGCAGGCUAUCCUCGCCUGAAUACUGCGUGCAUGGAAUAAUGGAAUAGGACCUCGGUUCUAUUUUGUUGGUUUUCGGAACCCCGAGGUAAUGAUUAAUAGGGACAGAUGGGGGCAUUCGUAUUGCGACGUUAGAGGUGAAAUUCUUGGAUCGUCGCAAGACGGACAGAAGCGAAAGCAUUUGCCAAAAAUGUUUUCAUUAAUCAAGAACGAAAGUUAGAGGUUCGAAGGCGAUCAGAUACCGCCCUAGUUCUAACCAUAAACGAUGCCAGCUAGCGAUCCGCCGAAGUUCCUCCGAUGACUCGGCGGGCAGCUUCCGGGAAACCAAAGCUUUUGGGUUCCGGGGGAAGUAUGGUUGCAAAGCUGAAACUUAAAGGAAUUGACGGAAGGGCACCACCAGGAGUGGAGCCUGCGGCUUAAUUUGACUCAACACGGGAAACCUCACCAGGCCCAGACACCGGAAGGAUUGACAGAUUGAUAGCUCUUUCUUGAUUCGGUGGGUGGUGGUGCAUGGCCGUUCUUAGUUGGUGGAGCGAUUUGUCUGGUUAAUUCCGAUAACGAACGAGACUCUAGCCUGCUAAAUAGGCGUACCUUAUGGUAUCGCGAAGGCCCCCGGCUUCGGCCGGUGGGUUUUUACUACCAACGUACAAACAAAUCUUCUUAGAGGGACAGGCGG
rnacentral:rRNA from 1 species